AUUGAACGCUGGCGGCAGGCUUAACACAUGCAAGUCGAGCGGAGAUGAGGUGCUUGCACCUUAUCUUAGCGGCGGACGGGUGAGUAAUGCUUAGGAAUCUGCCUAUUAGUGGGGGACAACAUUCCGAAAGGAAUGCUAAUACCGCAUACGUCCUACGGGAGAAGGCAGGGGAUCUUCGGACCUUGCGCUAAUAGAUGAGCCUAAGUCGGAUUAGCUAGUUGGUGGGGUAAAGGCCUACCAAGGCGACGAUCUGUAGCGGGUCUGAGAGGAUGAUCCGCCACACUGGGACUGAGACACGGCCCAGACUCCUACGGGAGGCAGCAGUGGGGAAUAUUGGACAAUGGGGGGAACCCUGAUCCAGCCAUGCCGCGUGUGUGAAGAGGGCCUUAUGGUUGUAAAGCACUUUAAGCGAGGAGGAGGCUACUGAGACUAAUACUCUUGGAUAGUGGACGUUACUCGCAGAAUAAGCACCGGCUAACUCUGUGCCAGCCGCCGCCGUAAGAC
rnacentral:rRNA from 1 species